rnacentral:rRNA from 1 species
GAUGAACGCUAGCUACAGGCUUAACACAUGCAAGUCGAGGGGUAACAAGAGAAAAGCUUGCUUUUCUUGUUGACGACCGGCGCACGGGUGAGUAACGCGUAUCCAACCUGCCUAUAACUAGGGAAUAACCUUGCGAAAGUAAGACUAAUGCCCUAUGACUUCCUUUGGCGGCAUCAAAAAAGGAAUAAAGAUUUAUCGGUUAUAGAUGGGGAUGCGUCUGAUUAGCUUGUUGGCGGGGUAACGGCCCACCAAGGCAACGAUCAGUAGGGGUUCUGAGAGGAAGGUCCCCCACAUUGGAACUGAGACACGGUCCAAACUCCUACGGGAGGCAGCAGUGAGGAAUAUUGGUCAAUGGGCGGAAGCCUGAACCAGCCAAGUAGCGUGCAGGAUGACGGCCCUAUGAGUUGUAAACUGCUUUUAUACAGGGAUAAAGUUAGCCACGUGUGGUUAUUUGCAGGUACUGUAUGAAUAAGGACCGGCUAAUUCCGUGCCAGCAGCCGCGGUAAUAC